UACGUAGGGUGCGAGCGUUAAUCGGAAUUACUGGGCGUAAAGCGUGCGCAGGCGGUUUUGUAAGUCUGUCGUGAAAUCCCCGGGCUCAACCUGGGAAUUGCGAUGGAGACUGCAAGGCUAGAAUCUGGCAGAGGGGGGUAGAAUUCCACGUGUAGCAGUGAAAUGCGUAGAGAUGUGGAGGAACACCGAUGGCGAAGGCGGCCCCCUGGGUCAAGAUUGACGCUCAUGCACGAAAGCGUGGGGAGCAAACAGG
rnacentral:rRNA from 1 species